UGCGCAGGCGGUUAUGUAAGACAGAUGUGAAAUGCCCGGGCUCAACCUGGGAAUUGCAUUUGUGACUGCAUAGCUAGAGUGUGUCAGAGGGGGGUAGAAUUCCACGUGUAGCAGUGAAAUGCGUAGAUAUGUGGAGGAAUACCGAUGGCGAAGGCAGCCCCCUGGGACAACACUGACGCUCAUGCACGAAAGCGUGGGGAGCAAACA
rnacentral:rRNA from 1 species